UACGUAGGGGGCGAGCGUUGUCCGGAGUUACUGGGCGUAAAGGGCAUGCAGGCGGUCCGACACGUUUUGUGUGACAGCGGGUGGCUUAACUACCCGAGGAUACGAAAGACGGUAGGACUUGAGGACUCGAGAGGGACACGGAAUUCCGGGUGGAGUGGUGAAAUGCGUAGAGAUCCGGAGGAACACCGAAGGCGAAGGCAGUGUCCUGGCGAGUGACUGACGCUGAGGUGCGAAAGCCAGGGGAGCGAACGGGG
rnacentral:rRNA from 1 species